CACUAUCCCACGCUGCACUGCGGAAAUCAAAGCGCUCAAGCCAGUCCUCCAGAAGCCCAGAUGUCUUUGCGGGAGCAGCCUGAAGUCUUGUCUUUGCCGUUGGCCGCCCCCUACUGGACCUGCAAGAGCUGUUCAGGUUGUAGUCCAAAAACACAGAAGAGAAUUAGCAUUUUCGAGCCAUGGGUUCCCUCUGGAUUUAUCUAUGGGUUUUUAUAAUGGCAGUUUUGGAUUUAUGAGUAAAACAGACCCUGAUCAGCAAAACUCCAGCAGGUCUAGUGCCACAACCUGCAACACCAUCUACAGAGCCCUUGGAUCCACAGACUUGCUGAUCACAGUGACAACACAAAAGACCAAUGUGAACCCACCUUCUGCAUUUUUGUGCUCUAACUCUUUAAUACAAUCUCCUUUUGCAUAAACUGUAAUAAACAUUAUUUACACUGUAUAAAGAAAUUUCAGAACAAUUUUUCCAAAAUAUUAUUACUUAAUGGUUUCAAAUGUUACCAUGUUCUUUUAAUGUUUUUAUACUUUCACUGUUCAUUCAUUUUCACUUUCUAUUUAUUACCUUCUUAUAUUUUACUGUAAAUUACUAUACAUUUCAAUGAGUACUGGCUUUGUGUUACUUUGUAUGUCAAUCAGACAUGGACCUCCUCAGGUAAGGGAGAAUCACAUUACAUAAAAAAUAUACCAUGCUUUGGAAAAGUACUGUGAUAAUAUGAACUUAAUAAACUAUUUCCACCUUAUUUUGUAGAAAUGUCUUCAGGUUAUCUGGUGGCCUUCAAGGUUGGACUGUGACAUAUCCUCCACAGUGGACACAGCAGGACUCUUUUAUGGUUAAUUGGGGAGUUUUCGUGUGUUCUGCAGCUGAAAAUGAAGUGUUAUAUCAGGGAGUGGUGGUGGUGUAGUGGGCUAAAGCACAUAACUGUAAAUCAGAAGGUCGCUGAUUCGAUCCCCACGGCCACCACCAUUGUGUCCUUGAGCAAGACACUUAACUCCAGGUUGCUCCGGGAGGAUUGUCCCUGUAAUAUGUGCUCUGUAAGUCGCUUUGGAUAAAAGCGUCUGCCAAAAUGCAUACAUGUAAAUCAUGAGGUCAACAGGAAUGACAAGGGUGCAAUGCACAACUUGCAAAGACUGGCUGCAUUUUCAGUGUGCGGGUGUGGAGGGGCACUUGACUUCAAAGGAUUUCUUUUGUGGAUGCAAACUUAUCCUAGAUUUAGAUGACAUCCUGGAAUCUGUUAAAGUAGAAGACAUUCUGACAGAUGAAGAGAUAAAGGAUUUGGAAAGAAACCUUCAGAGUGGGCAUUUUCUCUCAAACAGAAUGUAUCUGUGGGAACACAGAGGGUUUGAUCCAGCCCUUCGAAAACAUUACAGUGAACAUUUAACAUUAUUUUAUGAAAUAAAGUUAUGUGUAAUAUUCUUUAUGUGUAUAUAUAUAUAUAUAUAUAAUGUACACAACUCUUGGUCUUUAAAAGAUUUAAAACAGUGGUAUGUGACAAAUGUCUUGAAAUCUGGAUUUCUAAAAAAUUAUAUACCAAAUUAUAUUCAUAUUUUUGCCAUAUUAAGUAAUUGUCUUUAUAUUCCCAAAUGUAACUUUUAAAAGUUUUUGGUAGGAAGCAUUUUUGGGCAAGGUGAUGCUAGUGGACAGGAAACAGUUGUCAUUUUGCCUGAGGUAAUCUAAUGGAAAGAUGUACCAAAUAAAAAAUUAGUACAAGAAUUUCAUUUACAGCAAAGAAAUUGAUAAGCGAGUAAUGGCAUUGAGAUGGAUUCAAACUGCAGUACUUCAGUAAAACUAUCAAUUUAAGUGAAAACAUAAGACAGAAAACUUUAAUGUGGUUAAAAUUGUACAUUUCUCACAUUAAUACUGUAUUUAUUUAGUAGGUUUUGAUUCAGUAGUUCUGAAGAGCAAAUAUUACAAGGAAAAGAAAAGGUACAGGCCAUUGUACCUAUUGUAUGUAUUACAUCAUUAAAUCCAUUCUACCAGUCAGGACAUAAAUAAUUUUUCAGGUCAGGUUGACAUUAUUGUAAUGACAUAAUGUGGCCCUGGUACACUUUUUUUCCCCCCAGUGCUGCAGAGAUCAGAACAGCUGACUCAGAAAGCACAGAAGAGGUAAGACAUUCAACAGUACCAAAUUCCCCAUGACCCAGUAAGGAUAAGCGGUACAGAAAUUGGAUGGAUGGAUAUUAAAGCAGUAAAUAUAUUGAAGCCAGACACACAUGCUGGUACAUACAGUAGUUUGAGCCCACUUGACUUGCUCAAGAGCAACAUCUGUUGGCAGCUCAUUCAGAAACAUCAGAAAGCUUUGAUCAGUACUUUAGGCAGAUUAUUUGACAUGUAUUGUGUGUAUGCGAUAAAAUGAAAUGGAGAUUAAUAUAAACCUGGUAGAUUAAUGAAAUAUACUUUUUGUAAUACAAAAAUAAAAAGUGGAUGGAUAACUGUGGGGUCCCUGAUAAAUUAUAUAUAACUGUUCACAUGCAGCAGGAAGUGCAAAAUCAGUAAACAACCAUAUAAAUCUCAUUUAGCCUUCCACAUAUAAUAUCAUAAAGUUAUUCAUCUUUUUCUUGAUCAUAAGACUAUACAGCAUCACUGAAACAUAAAGCAGCUUUUAUACACUCGUAGGACACAUUUUUAUAAAAAUGAUAGGCUAUGUAUUGAUCAUGCUCAGGCAAGGGAAUUGUUACAACCAUUUGUUUUAUUUUAAGUGAUCUUUUACGAAAAGACUGUGAAACAUUCUGUACAGAAGUUGUAGAUAAAAUGAGUUACAGAGGAAUGUUCAUCAGAUUUGAGGAAGACUAAUUCAUCCACAUGGACCAUUCAAAUUCAAGGAACUUAAAUCAAAUUAAUAUAAAUUAAAAUUACCCAAUACAAUUUUUGAUAGUUGUUACAAAUUGCUACCUAUGUUUUUGGGUUAAAUAUUACAUGUCAUUUUUUUUUUCAGUGUGGGUUUAAUAAAAGAUACAUUUUGAGUAAACAACAACUGAAUAGCCUCUUCAUUGCUAUGACCUUUUCCCCAUGUAUGCUACUGCAGCAUCGGAAACUCAUGGCUGUAUUAACUGAAUAACAGGGUUUUUAAAAAUAUAUUCACUGAGAGUAAAUUAUUAUAAAUCAUUGUGAGAUAGCCCAUAUAAUAUUAUUAAUUAUUUGUUUAUUUUGCAAAAGACAAUGUCGUUUUUAAAAGUAGAAACCUCGAAUCAUGUUGCAAACAGUGGCAUCAUCCAUAAACUGAGGCAUAUAACGCAUAUGUUAUGCAGCAUAAAAUUCAAAUCUGAGCCACAUACAGAAGGCUUUAACAUUCUUUAGGCUGCUCUUCUAUCUUCUAUCUAAUUCUAUCAGUAUCUUUUAAUACACUUUGGGCCACUCUAUCGAAUCUUUAUCUAUCUAUCUAACUAUCUAUCCAUCCAUCCAUCCAUCAUCCAUCCAUUGAGUUUAGAGGGAUAUCUCCGGAUCAGAACAUUGUAGACACUUCCAGGUUGGCACAUUUGACUCAAGCUAGCACAGAGCCUUUUGAGUAUCACCCUGGUAACUGCCUAGCAACCAGAUGGGGUUGCCUUGGCAGCCAAAUAACAAAGCAUAUAUCUCUGCACUAGAACAUUGUAGAGACUUCCAAUUUCUUUCAUUUGACUCAGGGUAGCAAGUAGCCUUUUGAGUAUCACUUUGGUAACUGCCUAGCAACCAGAAGAGUUGCCCUAGCAGCCAAAAACAAAACAUAUAUCUCUGCACUAGAACAUUGUUGAGACUUCCUUUUUCAUUCAUUUGACUCAGAGUAGCAAGGAGCCUUUUGAGUAUCACCUUGCUAACUGCAUAGCAACCAGAUGGGGUUGCCCUAGCAGCCAAAUAAAAAUCAGAUAUCUCUGCACUAGAACAUCGUAGAGACUUCCAGUUUUGUUCAUUUGACUCAGGGUAGCAAGGAUCCUUUUGAGUAUCACUUUGGUAACUGUCUAGCAACCAGAUGGGGUUACCCUAGCAACCAAGUAACAAAUCACAAAUCUCUGCACCAGGAACAUCGUAGAGAUUUCCGGUUUCUUUCAUUUAACUCAGGGUAGCAAGGAGCCUUUUGACUAUCACUUUGGCAACUGCCUAGUAACUAGAUGGGGCUGCCCUAGCAACCAAGUAACAAAAUAUAUCUAUGCACAA